rnacentral:misc_RNA from 1 species
CAAAAAUCAUCAGUGUAUAAUUGUACUCGAAGCGCAUCGCACGCGUUUGAUUAAUCUCAUUUAGUCUCGUCGUGUUUGUGUUCGUGCGUGAAAUUCGCAACUCAACAAUCAGAUAGUUCGAAGUGUUGAGUGGGAUUUCCAUCAACCUCGCCAUCUAUCAUCACCUUAUUAAUUUCAGAUAUCAUUCAAUAUCAAUAUCAAAAUGGGGUAGUGUAUAAAUAAAAUCACAAUUAAAACAAAAUAACUGUAGCUUACUUAAAUAAUUAGUUGUUAUAUAUAGUGUAACAAACCGGCAGCCAUGUAUUCCAUGAACUAUAUCGGCAAGUUUAUCGCGAAGUUCUACAGUGAGAUCAAUGGUGCCACGCUCACGGGCGCCAUAGACGUGGUGGUGGUGGAACAACCCGAUGGCAGCUUCACUUGUUCCCCAUUCCACGUGCGAUUUGGAAAGCUGGGUGUACUGCGUUCCAGGUUCAAAGUGGUGGACUUGGAGUUAAAUGGGGAGCCGCUGAACAUCCACAUGAAACUGGGGGAGUCCGGGGAGGCCUUUUUCGUGGAAGAAGUAGGGGAGGACGAGGCAGCAUGCGCAGCGCACCUGGCCACCUCGCCCAUACCGGCCACGAGGUUCGACGAACUGUAUGAGCCGAGGCGGAGAAACUCACUCUCUGCUGUUGAACCUGAUCACGGACAAGCCUCGGACUACACGAAGAGAAGAUACACCGCAGACGGGAAGUCUAUGCAAAAGCCGGACUUGAGCAGACUGGGCAAAAACAAAAAGGACGACAAAAAGACAGUUGACGACCACGACCAUGAGGCUUUGUUCGAAAUGGACGGCCUGAAUGAGGGCUCGUCCGAUUGGACGGAUUCGAAACCAAAGACAUUCGCGGCCACACAACUAGGUUCAGCUGAGAGCGAGGCGAACCAAACGGUGCAGAAGAUCAGCGAGCACAAUGACUUCCGACCAAUCGACGCACCCAGCCACGAGGAUCUCAAACCCAACAACGGCAAUGGCAAAAAGAAGAAGAAGACGAGGAAAGUGAGCUCGAAGAAGAAGCACCAAAGAAAAUCGUCCACCAGUUCGAUUUCUAGUCAGUCUGAUCUCCCCAGUUCUGAGCAGCGCGGUUCGCAGCCGACUGCCAUUCCUAACACGACUGAUAUUAACUUCUUCAGCGACACUGAGGCAGUGACAGGUGGUCUUAGCGAAGAGAUGUCCAACUUGAACCUCAAAGGCGACAAUCGCAUACCGCUGGCGUUGUCGGACACGGCGUUCGAAGUCCACUCCGCCUCCAGACAUUCCAAAGGGUCUCGCCAUGGUACACCAGUCCAGUCUGAUACUGAAAUGGAGUUACAAAGAGCUGCCAAUGGGGACAAGUCGUCGCAGUCUUGGCGGUGGGGCGAGCUACCCGAGCCGCCGGUCCGCGGUCCGCAGACCGAGUCGCCGGAGACCCCGGCGUCGCCUGCAUCCCCCGCGGAGCCAGCGUCCCCUACCGAGCCUUUGAGCUCUGAUGAAGAGCGGACGGAGCGACGAGGAGUCUUAAGCGGCAUGUUCAGGUUUAUGUCAACGCGGGAAGCAGCAGAAACAGCGCCCGGCGGCGUCUACCUGGAUGACCUGGAUCGCGGUCAAGUCGACCCCGAUCUGUACUUCCCCAAACACCACGCGGACCGCUAUCGGACAGCAGGUAACGUGGGCAUACAGAGCGGGCCCACAGAGGAGGAGUACGAGUCGGGCAACGGGCCGUCGCUGCCGCAGUCGCCCAAUUCACCGACGUCGCUCGACGCGCCCACCCUCGACUCGGACGACGACGAGAAAUUGCUCGCCAAAGGGCAGGUGUCAGUGAUGGCGCGCGAGGGCGCGGUGUCGCGCGCGCUCAGCUACGAGGAGUUCUGCAUGCAGGGCGCGGCCCUCGCCAGCGCGGGGCAGCUGGAAGUGCGGCUGGGCGCGCGCCGCAUGCCGUGGCGCAGCGCCGGCCCGCUGCUGCUGUCGCUGCUGGCCUACAGGCGCCCGCUGCCCAACCGAGUACUGGAAGAGCUAGAGAAAGGCGAAAAGUGCGAGGAGGCGAGCAGUCGCGGCGCCGACGAGGCCAAGCCACGCUCCUACUCGUGGUGGAACUGGCGCCGAUCCAACACAGACAAAAGGUCCGAAUCAUCGCAGCCCAAAGAUGAAAUACAAGACGUGAGCGCACUGAAUAGCGAUACAACUAAAAGUAUGACGCCAAAGACUGAGUCAAUAGACGAGGAUCACUUAGAUCACUGGACUGAGGUGAAGGAAGAGAAACUGGAACCACCAAAAGACGUGCUAGAUGUCAGCGAAGCGGCAAUAGUUGAAGAAGUGAUGGAAGUCGGUGAAACUGCGCCAAUUAUGCCUACUCGCGAAGUGUCCGUGCGCCUUGACCACAGCUCUUCAGACUCCGAGCACGAGGCGCACAACACGAGGACGUCGCGCCGACAGUCUUCCUUCCGCAAAACGCUGCGACUGUCUUCUGACCAAAUUAAAAAGUUGAAUUUGCGCGAGGGCAUGAACGAGAUGGUGUUCAGCGUGACGACGGCGUACCAGGGCACCACGCGCUGCAAGUGCAAUGUGUUCCGCUGGCGGUACGACGACAAGGUCGUCAUCUCCGACAUCGACGGCACCAUCACCAAGUCGGACGUGCUGGGCCACAUCUUCCCACUGGUGGGCAAGGACUGGGCGCAGUCGGGGGUCGCGCAACUCUUCACCAAGAUCAAGAACAACGGCUACCAGUUGUUGUACCUGUCGGCGCGCGCUAUUGGACAAGCAAGGGUGACCCGAGAAUAUCUACGCUCGAUUAAGCAAGGCGAGGUGUGCCUGCCGGACGGACCACUGCUGUUGAACCCCACGUCGCUCCUGCGCGCCUUCCACAGAGAGGUCAUCGAGAAAAAGCCAGAGGAGUUCAAGAUCCAAUGCCUGGCCGACAUCAAAGCGUUGUUCCCGACAGGCUCCAAUCCGUUCUACGCGGGAUAUGGCAAUAGAGUCAAUGACGUGUGCGCGUACCAAGCCGUCGGCAUCCCCAUCGUCAGGAUAUUCACGAUCAACUACAAGGGCGAACUGAAGCACGAGCUGACACAGACAUUCCAGUCCACCUACCACGUGCAAAGUGACAUGGUCGAUGAUUUCUUCCCGCCACUGAAACGUGAUAGACUCGUAUGCUAGUCGAGAAUAAUGUUUAGUCGAAUCCGAUAUUAUAAAUAACGGAGUUUUCCAAAAAUAAACGUAUGCAGAGAGUUCUGGUACUCGCACAUGUCCGUGCUAGUUGACCAGGUGUUCCCGCCCGCGCAGUGCGAGCCCAGCGACGAGUUCUCACAAAGCGUGUACUGG